rnacentral:rRNA from 1 species
ACUCCUACGGGAGGCAGCAGUGGGGAAUCUUGCACAAUGGGCGAAAGCCUGAUGCAGCGACGCCGCGUGCGGGAUGAAGGCCUUCGGGUUGUAAACCGCUUUCAGCAGGGACGAGGCCGCAAGGUGACGGUACCUGCAGAAGAAGCCCCGGCUAACUACGUGCCAGCAGCCGCGGUAAU